rnacentral:lncRNA from 8 species
AUUGAGCAGCCCAGACUACAGGACCAUAGAGGGUCUUUCUAUGGAGGCCAGUGUUUCUGCAGCUCUGCUGAUGGUAGGUCCUUCUAAUUUCUGUGUUAUGUUGUGGGGGACUUUCACCAUAGAGUCAUGCCAAUAAGUGUUUUUUGUGGCUUGUGCUUCUCCACAGGCAUCCUGUCUGCUGGCACUGUCUGAGCCCAGCUGUGAUCAGACCCAGUUUCUUCACUCUAAUGGCAGUUGUGUUGACUGUCCUGUCUGUGGACCUGGGGAGCAGCUAACAGACGUAACACAUAGAGUUACUGUGUGUGUGUGUGUGUGUGUGUGUCUGUCUGUCUGUCUGUCUGUCUGUCUGUCUGUCUGUCUGUCUGUCUGUCUGUCUGUCUGUCUGUCUGUCUGUCUGUCUGUCUGUCUGUCUGUCUGUCUGUCUGUCUGUCUGUCUGUCUGUCUGUGGCUGUGUGUCUAUGUGUCUGUUUGUCUGUGUGUAUCUGUUUAACUGCCUCUGGCUCUACACCUGUCUGAUUCCUGUCCCAGGACUGUGGUUAUGGGGAUGGGGGAGAGGGAGAGGGCGGCCGCUGUGUGGCGUGUGCAGAGGGGCAGUUCAGUACUGAGACUGGGUUGGCCCCCUGCUGGCAGUGCACUCGUUGUAUUCUGCUAAACCGCCAGGAGAGAGCAGUGUGCUCACCCACCAACAACGCCCAGUGUGGCAACUGCCUCCCAGGGUAAGUCCUAUAUCUAUGGGGUGAGUCAAGUGCAGUGCAGACAAAAGGAAACACGUAACAUUUCACUUCAGGGGGUCAAGGUUGGACUUGGCUGUUUUCCAUUUCUGACAUAAUACUCAUUACAAUUCCAUUGUAUUGUAUUCCAGUAACGUUCAAGAGAGACCAAAAACCGUUGUAGUCUUAGAGAGCAUGAAGGAAACUUAGGAUCAGUCACCAUCCCCACGGGCCAUGCUGCGUAUGUCAUUAUGUCUGGUGUUUAUGUCUGUACUCAGGUAUUAUAAGCUCAGAAGUAGGAGUGGGGAGGUGGACCUGUCGUGCAUGCCCUGUUACAGCCCCACAGGCAAGAUCCGGAAAGAGUGUUUACCUUUGCAGUGGAAACACACCUCCACAGCAGUGACGCUGGAUACGGUCCAAGUCUCCAUGGCUCUUAUUGGUUCAGUGACUUCCGCCUCAAUCUUCCUACUGCUUCUGUUGCUUUGGGCCGUACUACUGAUCAUUGAGAGAUUCAAACAGGUUCCAAAGUAUUGUCCUGAAGGUCUACAUUCUGAAGUAGACACAGCCUUCCCAUGGAAUACACUCCUCUCUAACAGCACAGAGACUGGAGAGAUACCACCAGUUACCCCAUCAGAGAGUCCCGGACCAACCCAGGACGCCCACCACAGGUACCUAUCCUCCUGGCCAGAGGUUCUGCUUUGGGGAAUAACUGUAAUCGGGUGA